AUACGGAGGAUCAGAGCGUUAUCCGGAUUUAUUGGGUUUAAAGGGUGCGCAGGCGGCCAUUUAAGUCAGCGGUUAAAUCGUGGGGCUCAACCCCAUUCUGCCGUUGAUACUGGGUGGCUUGAUUGCGGUCGAGGUUGGCGGAAUUCGUUGUGUAGCGGUGAAAUGCAUAGAUAUGACGAAGAACACCGGUUGCGUAGGCAGCUGACCAGACCGCAAAUGACGCUCAUACCCGAAAGUGCGGGGAUCGAACAGGAGUAGAGACCCUGGUAGUCCGCACAGUAAACGAUGAAUACUUGGUUUCGGCGAUAUAAUGUCGGAGUCAAAACGAAAGCGAUAAGUAUUCCACCUGGGGAGUACGCCGGCAACGGUGAAACUUAAAUGAAUUGACGGGG
rnacentral:rRNA from 1 species